rnacentral:rRNA from 1 species
UACAGAGGGUGCAAGCGUUGUUCGGAAUUACUGGGCGUAAAGCGCGUGUAGGCGGUUGUUCAAGUCUUGUGUGAAAGCCCUGGGCUCAACCCAGGAAGUGCGCAAGAUACUGGAUGGCUGGAGUGUCGGAGAGGAGGGCGGAAUACCCGGUGUAGAGGUGAAAUUCGUAGAUAUCGGGUGGAACACCUGUGGCGAAGGCGGCCCUCUGGACGAUCACUGACGCUGAGACGCGAAAGCAUGGGGAGCAAACAGG